AGUGUACCCGCGGCAAGACGGAAAGACCACGUGAACCAUUACUAUAGCUUGACACUGAACAUUGAGCCUUGAUGUGUAGGAUAGGUGGGAGGCUUUGAAGCGCGGACGCCAGUCUGCAUGGAGCCAACCUUGAAUUACCACCAUUUAAUGUUUGAUGUUCUAACGUUGGCCCCUUACGGGGGUUGCGGACAGUGUCUGGUGGGUAGUUUGACUGGGGCGGUCUCCUCCCAAAGCGUAACGGAGGUGCACGAAGGUUAGCUAAUCUUGGUCGGACAUCAGGAGGUUAGUGCAAUGGCAUAAGAUAGCUUGACUGCGAGCGUGACGGCGCUAGCAGUUGCGAAAGCAGGUCAAAGUGAUACGGUGGUUCGGAGUGGGAGGGACAUCGCACAACG
rnacentral:rRNA from 1 species